GUUUUGUGAGUGCCCAUGUUGAUUGGAUAUCCAGUAUCAUUGUAAAGGGGAAUCGGAAAUAAUUUUCUGCAUAAAAUUGUUUCUAUGUGUAAAUGUAAUGUGACAUAAACAAAGAUAAAUAAAUCAAGCAUUAUUUAUCUGUGUAACUUAGAAAUUCACCCGAAUUAUUUAAGAUUUUGUCUUGUAUCAGCUAGUUGGGAAUAAGCUUCUAGGCUAUAUCUCCCUGUGGUAAAGUGUAAAAACGAUGUAUCAGAAAAUAGAGUAACGGAGACACAGGAAACGACUGGCUCGGUUGAGGAACUGACUUGGCUGGCCUUUAGUUGUCAUAUUAAAUCUGUAAAAUCAGGAAAGUGUUUCUUUCCACGCUGAGAACAUGUAGGAAGAGAUGCUCCAGAUAAAUGUUUAACUUAUCUUCCACCUCGUUUAAAUGUUGCAAAACCUUAUAUAAAUGUACCUCCAAAUACACUUCUAAUACUUGAAUGUAGAGGAGAAUAUGAUACCUAUUGGGAUAUUCCAAAGUAUCUUGAACCUGAUAUAAAAGAAAAUAACAUUAAAAUUACAUAUGGAAGACCUUCAUAUUCAGAAGCUACUAAACUUUCAAUUCAACAUUCGCCUGAGAGAACAGGUCUUUAUAUUUGUUAUUAUAAAAGUAGUAAUUCAAUACAUGGAAAAAAUGCAACAGCUGUAUACAUAUUCUUCAAUGGUAAGUUUAUAUAUCUAAAUAUACUUUCAUGAUUUUAUU
rnacentral:lncRNA from 1 species